rnacentral:rRNA from 1 species
AGAGUUUGAUCAUGGCUCAGAAUCAACGCUGGCGGUGUUGCUCAGACAUGCAAGUUGAACGCGAAAGUCCCCUUCGGGGGACAAGUAGAGUGGCGCACGGGUGAGUAACACGUAGGUAAUCUACCUUCGGAUGGGGAAUAACAACCCGGAAACGGUUGCUAAUACCGCAUAAUGCAGCGGCACUAAUGGUGACAGUUGUUAAAGCGGGGGAUCGAAAGACCUCGCGUCUGAAGAGGAGCCUGCGGCGGAUUAGCUAGUUGGUAAGGUAACGGCUUACCAAGGCGACGAUCCGUAGCCGGCCUGAGAGGGCGGUCGGCCACACUGACACUGACAUACGGGUCAGACUCCUACGGGAGGCAGCAGUCGGGAAUUUUGGGCAAUGGGCGAAAGCCUGACCCAGCAACGCCGCGUGAAGGAUGAAAUCCCUCGGGAUGUAAACUUCGCAAGAACGGGAAGAAUAAGUAGGGGACAAUACCCCCUAUGAUGACGGUACCGUUUGUAAGCUCCGGCUAACUCCGUGCCAGCAGCCGCGGUAAUACGGGGGGAGCAAGCGUUGUUCGGAUUUACUGGGCGUAAAGGGCGCGUAGGCGGCCACCGCAAGUCACUUGUGAAAUCUCCGGGCUUAACUCGGAAAGGUCAACUGAUACUGCGGGGCUAGAGUGCGGAAGGGGCAACUGGAAUUCUCGGUGUAGCGGUGAAAUGCGUAGAUAUCGAGAGGAACACCUGCGGCGAAGGCGGGUUGCUGGGCCGACACUGACGCUGAAGCGCGAAAGCUAGGGGAGCGAACGGGAUUAGAUACCCCGGUAGUCCUAGCCUUAAACGAUGAAUGCUUGGUGUCUGGGGUUAUAAAGUCCCCGGGUGCCGUCGCUAACGCUUUAAGCAUUCCGCCUGGGGAGUACGGUCGCAAGACUGAAACUCAAAGGAAUUGACGG